rnacentral:rRNA from 1 species
CCUACGGGAGGCAGCAGUAGGGAAUAUUGCACAAUGGGGGAAACCCUGAUGCAGCAACGCCGCGUGGAGGAAGAAGGUUUUCGGAUUGUAAAGUCCUUUUGUUAGAGAAGAAAGUGACGGUAUCUAACGAAUAAGCACCGGCUAACUCCGUGCCAGCAGCCGCGGUAAUACGGAGGGUGCAAGCGUUACUCGGAAUCACUGGGCGUAAAGAGCGCGUAGGCGGGAUAGCAAGUCAGAUGUGAAAGCCGAUGGCUUAACCAUGGGACUGCAUUUGAAACUGUUAUGCUAGAGUACGGGAGAGGUAAGUGGAAUUCUUGGUGUAGGGGUGAAAUCCGUAGAGAUCAGGAGGAAUACUCGUGGCGAAGGCGGCCUGCUGGAACAUAACUGACGCUGAGGCGCGAAAGCGUGGGGAGCAAACAGGAUUAGAUACCCGAGUAGUC